GAUGAACGCUGGCGGCGUGCCUAAUACAUGCCAGUCGAGCGAACAGACGAGGAGCUUGCUCCUCUGACGUUAGCGGCGGACGGGUGAGUAACACGUGGAUAACCUACCUAUAAGACUGGGAUAACUUCGGGAAACCGGAGCUAAUACCGGAUAAUAUAUUGAACCGCAUGGUUCAAUAGUGAAAGACGGUUUUGCUGGCACUUAUAGAUGGAUCCGCGCCGCAUUAGCUAGUUGGUAAGGUAACGGCUUACCAAGGCAACGAUGCGUAGCCGACCUGAGAGGGUGUUCGGCCACACUGGAACUGAGACACGGUCCAGACUCCUACGGGAGGCAGCAGUAGGGAAUCUUCCGCAAUGGGCGAAAGCCUGACGGAGCAACGCCGCGUGAGUGAUGAAGGUCUUCGGAUCGUAAAACUCUGUUAUUAGGGAAGAACAAAUGUGUAAGUAACUAUGCACGUCUUGACGGUACCUAAUCAGAAAGCCACGGCUAACUACGUG
rnacentral:rRNA from 1 species